rnacentral:rRNA from 1 species
GCUAUUGGGAUUCGAUUUAGCCAUGUAGUCGGACGAGUUUAUACUCGUGGCAGAUAGCUCAGUAACACGUGGCCAAGCUACCCUUCAGUCGGCAAUACCCUCGGGAAACUGAGGUUAAUGGCCGAUAUGGGACGCCUGCUGGAAUGCGGCGUUCUCUAAAGAUUACGCUGAAGGAUGCGGCUGCGGCCGAUUAGGUUGACGGUGGGGUAACGGCCCACCGUGCCAGUAAUCGGUACGGGUGAUGAGAGUCAGAGCCCGGAGACGGAAUCUGAGACAAGAUUCCGGGCCCUACGGGGCGCAGCAGGCGCGAAACCUUUACACUGCACGGAAGUGCGAUAGGGGAAUCCCAAGUGCGAGGGCAUAUUCGCCCUCGCUUUUGUUGACCGUAAGGUGGUCAACGAAUAAGAGCUGGGCAAGACCGGUGCCAGCCGCCGCGGU